rnacentral:lncRNA from 1 species
AGCAGUCAUGGCUUGAUCACUAAGCUCCAUGUUUCUUCCACCUAACCGGUCAACCAUAUCAGGUAUUGAUUCAUAGCCCCUAAAAUCUUGCUCUUUCGGAUCCUCAAGCUUCAUUCUCAUCUUCUCAGCUUGACGACUCGCGACCUCUUGAGCCAAUGUCCAGUCAUAGAACCUUCGAGUCUCUUCAUCGCUCAAAACAUUGUACACUUCUCUUAGUUUCAUGAACUUGUCUGAAGCUGUUUUAAGUGGUAAUGAAGUUGUGUCGGGAUGAUACUCUUUUGAUAAUCUUCGGUACGCAGAUUUUAUCUCUUCUAGAUCAGCAUCCGUUGAAACACCUAAGAAUCUGAAAAUUAUUACAGUUACAAAUUAUGAAAAAGAAAAAAAAAAAGAUAUGUAAUAAGAAAAUCUUUGUUUUUGCUAACUGGUAAUGAGAAUCAAAAGAGUCUUUGAUUAGUUCUGCAAAUUUUUCAUCACUAAGGAGAUUGGUUUUGUCCUCAUCAACGGAUUUGGUCGGGUCGGAUCUUCCUCCGAUCCAGCCUUCGUCCGGGCUUUCCCAGUGGAUUCUUGUGUCUACUCCUGGCGAUGGUUUUGGCGGUUUUGUCGGGCCUUGUGACGCGUACGUCACUCUUCUUGCCGUUAUCCUUCUAAAUGCUCUUGUAUCGUCCCUGAAAUGCGUGCCGUUUUGGAUUUUGGGAAGGAUAAUGCAGGACGUUCGAGC